GAGUUUGAUCCUGGCUCAGAUUGAACGCUGGCGGCAGGCCUAACACAUGCAAGUCGAGCGGUAGAGAGAAGCUUGCUUCUCUUGAGAGCGGCGGACGGGGUGAGGUAAUGCCUAGGAAUCUGCCUGGUAGUGGGGGAUAACGCUCGGAAACGGACGCUAAUACCGCAUACGUCCUACGGGAGAAAGCAGGGGACCUUCGGGCCUUGCGCUAUCAGAUGAGCCUAGGUCGGAUUAGCUAGUUGGUGAGGUAAUGGCUCACCAAGGCGACGAUCCGUAACUGGUCUGAGAGGAUGAUCAGUCACACUGGAACUGAGACACGGCCCAGACUCCUACGGGAGGC
rnacentral:rRNA from 1 species